AUCAUGAGCAUGAGCCACUGUGCCCAGCUGACGAUUGGGUUUUCAUGGUCAUAUGUGAGUUGUACCUUCCUCUAAACUUUGUUACAAUGACAGCGGCACAUUAUCUGUCUCAUG
ensembl:snoRNA